AUGGAGCCAGACACCAUGGAGUUCAAGUCUGUCACAUCUGGAGCAGGUGGACUCCCCCUGUCGUCACCCCUGAUCACAGCAGUGCGGUGCAGCAAGCAACCACAACCCAUCACAACACCACAAACUGAGGAAAAGAUGAAGAGGCAAGAAAACAGCCCAAAACGGAAUAAAGAUCUUACGCAUGAGAAUGGAGCGCAUAUUGUUUCCAAUGACAAAGCAUGCAUUUCUGAUGAAAAGGAAACUCCUAAAGUUGAGGGGAAAAUCAAUGGGACUGCCCUACCCUCCAAAAAGCCACCAAACCUACCCCCUAUCCCUCGCUCUGAUUCAGGCACAAAGCUAGCUAUUCCCCCUCCAGUACCACCCAAACCCACUUCUCCCUCCAAUUUCCACCCCUUAUCACUACCUGCUAGCUCUCCUGUUUCCCCAACUGAUCCAAAUAAAGGGAUCUUUAAGGAUAGCGUCAGUCCACCAAAUGGAAUCCACCCUUGGAGCAGCCGCAAUGGCAGCAUUCAGUCAGGACCCAGGAGGGUCUCUCUGAGUCAUGAAAGCUUGUCACCCAAAAAUACAGAUGCACCUCUCACCCUUACCACCUCCCUCACCUCAACUAACUCCAAAGGUGUUGGGGGCCUAGAAAGCAGAGAACCUGGAAGAUCUGGAUCAGGAUCAGACCUGAGGACCAGCUUUACCAGCCUGGGAGGCAGACUACCAGCUUCUGCUCUGAGAGGGAAGAUCCAGGCUCUGCCUUGGUAUAUGACCCGUUCCCAGGAGAUUUUGGGAACUCUGGACUAUCCCUCUUCUAGCUCCAUCAAUGGAGACACAUCUGGAUUUGGCUCUGGUUUGUCUGUAGCCAGUGGUUUAUCAGACUUAAACAAGACCCCUGUCAAGGAAAAAGAGACUGAAACUUCAAAAUCAGGAGGGAAAGGAAACAUUUUAGAGGAUGGAGCUGAGGUUGUCAUAGCAACCAUCAAAGAGGCCCAGGAAGUGACCUCACACAUGAAAAAAGCCAAUGGGACAAACGGCUCCCACCCUAAUCUGAGUUUAAAAGAGAAUAGUGUGCACUGCGACAGUGUUUCAUCGGAGCAGCCACAGUCCCGGUCCCAUUCAGCAGUAGGGUUGGGAGGUGUGUCCAGCAUGCAAAUUGGAGGUGAUUCACCAACCUCCUCACUCGCAGAUAGUACUCCCCCUCAACAGCAACGGGAGGCUUGUGGCUGCCGCACAGUUUACGCCAACUGUUUCAGUGGAGACACUGAGGAUGGUGUAAGCUUUGAUGAGGAGCUUACGGUUUACGAGUUCUCCCGUCGCACACGCCCCAAACCUGCCAAACCCGCACCAGUGUCUUCUCCAACAACCCCGCCUCCAAACCCCAAUAUUCUCUCACUGCUUAAGGACAACCCCCGCCCGCUCUCUACUUUCUCCACUGCCUCCUCUGAACUCAGUCCCCUCGUUUCACGUCCGGUUUCCCCCACAACCUCAUUUGGUUGUCCUCUUCGUUCACUUACCAACAAGAAUUAUGGUGGGCUGAAAGGAGGUUUUGCCUCCCUACGCCAAGAUAUAGACCAACUUCUGUUGGUCUUAGAGAGGGGAGCACUUGAACAACCGCAACAAACAUGUGAAGACUCAAAGCAGGAUAUCACAGGCAUAAAAGUAGGGCCUGACCUCAAUCACAAUGGAAAUGAAGGCAGUACUACACCAGGACCGAGCCCAGAUUGUACUGGAACAAGCACCGCUGCCCUGACAGAGGCAGAAAGGAGUCUUCUCCAGGCAGAGGCUCGACGACUAGCAUCUGGGUGUCAGCGUGCCACACGUGUAGGUUGGGCUCCUGAUGAAGCCCUACGUUCUUUAUCUAACAGCUUCGGUGCCCUGGUUAAGUUGUCAGCAGCCUGCCUGCGAACAAACCCCUGCCCUGGUUGUGACAUCUGCCAUAAUGCGAGUCUGGUCCACAGGGAUGAGGACGAUGACAGCCAGGAACCCAUGGACAAGCUAAAGGAGAUAGUGGGUCUGUACCGGGAGUUUGUUGGGGCUGUUGAGACAGCUGGAACUGGUGCUGGGGUUGGGGGUAAGAGUGUGGGCUUCACUGGGUCUGGACAGGGUCAGGGGGAGAGUGACGGGGUAAGGCUCUUAGCCAAACGCUGCACUGUGCUAAUCUCCUCUGUAUUCGCACUCACACAGCUCUUCCGGACACGCACACUUGACACCUCGGACACGCCUGGACACGUACCUCUCAACUUUUGA
rnacentral:lncRNA from 15 species